rnacentral:rRNA from 1 species
UACAGAGGGGGCAAGCGUUAUUCGGAAUUAUUGGGCGUAAAGGGCGCGUAGGCGGCCUGGCAAGUGGAAGGUGAAAUCCCUCGGCUUAACCGAGGAACUGCCCUCCAAACUGCUUGGCUUGAGUCCGGGAGAGGAUCGUGGAAUUCCAGGUGUAGUGGUGAAAUACGUAGAUAUCUGGAGGAACACCGGUGGCGAAGGCGGCGAUCUGGCCCAACAUUGACCACUGAGACUCGAAAGUGCGGGGAUCAAACAGGG